CCAUGCACCGAAGCUGCGGCAGCGAACGUAUCACUUAAAGCGAUUCAGCGGGUUACGACUGACGGAGCGAAGCGACGUCAAAGCGUAUACAAAGUCGAGUCGGUUUAAGGAUACGUUCGUUGGGUAGGGGAGCGUUCUGUAAGCCUGCGAAGGUGGCCUGUGAGGGUUGCUGGAGGUAUCAGAAGUGCGAAUGCUGACAUAAGUAACGAUAAAGCGGGUGAAAAGCCCGCUCGCCGGAAGACCAAGGGUUCCUGUCCAACGUUAAUCGGGGCAGGGUGAGUCGACCCCUAAGGCGAGGCCGAAAGGCGUAGUCGAUGGGAAACGGGUUAAUAUUCCCGUACUUGGUGUUACUGCGAAGGGGGGACGGAGAAGGCUAUGUUGGCCGGGCGACGGUUGUCCCGGUUUAAGCGGGUAGGUGUGUGUUCCAGGUAAAUCCGGUUCACUUUAACACUGAGGCGUGACGACGAGGCACUACGGUGCUGAAGCAACAAAUGCCCUGCUUCCAGGAAAAGCCUCUAAGCAUCAGGUAACAUCAAAUCGUACCCCAAACCGACACAGGUGGUCAGGUAGAGAAUACCAAGGCGCUUGAGAGAACUCGGGUGAAGGAACUAGGCAAAAUGGUGCCGUAACUUCGGGAGAAGGCACGCUGACACGUAGGUGAAGUGGUUUACUCACGGAGCUGAAGUCAGUCGAAGAUACCAGCUGGCUGCAACUGUUUAUUAAAAACACAGCACUGUGCAAACACGAAAGUGGACGUAUACGGUGUGACGCCUGCCCGGUGCCGGAAGGUUAAUUGAUGGGGUCAGCGCAAGCGAAGCUCCUGAUCGAAGCCCCGGUAAACGGCGGCCGUAACUAUAACGGUCCUAAGGUAGCGAAAUUCCUUGUCGGGUAAGUUCCGACCUGCACGAAUGGCGUAAUGAUGGCCAGGCUGUCUCCACCCGAGACUCAGUGAAAUUGAACUCGCUGUGAAGAUGCAGUGUACCCGCGGCAAGACGGAAAGACCCCGUGAACCUUUACUAUAGCUUGACACUGAACAUUGAGCCUUGAUGUGUAGGAUAGGUGGGAGGCUUUGAAGUGUGGACGCCAGUCUGCAUGGAGCCGACCUUGAAAUACCACCCUUUAAUGUUUGAUGUUCUAACGUGGACCCGUUACCCGGGUUGCGGACAGUGUCUGGUGGGUAGUUUGACUGGGGCGGUCUCCUCCUAAAGAGUAACGGAGGAGCACGAAGGUUGGCUAAUCCUGGUCGGACAUCAGGAGGUUAGUGCAAUGGCAUAAGCCAGCUUGACUGCGAGCGUGACGGCGCGAGCAGGUGCGAAAGCAGGUCAUAGUGAUCCGGUGGUUCUGAAUGGAAGGGCCAUCGCUCAACGGAUAAAAGGUACUCCGGGGAUAACAGGCUGAUACCGCCCAAGAGUUCAUAUCGACGGCGGUGUUUGGCACCUCGAUGUCGGCUCAUCACAUCCUGGGGCUGAAGUAGGUCCCAAGGGUAUGGCUGUUCGCCAUUUAAAGUGGUACGCGAGCUGGGUUUAGAACGUCGUGAGACAGUUCGGUCCCUAUCUGCCGUGGGCGCUGGAGAACUGAGGGGGGCUGCUCCUAGUACGAGAGGACCGGAGUGGACGCAUCACUGGUGUUCGGGUUGUCAUGCCAAUGGCACUGCCCGGUAGCUAAAUGCGGAAGAGAUAAGUGCUGAAAGCAUCUAAGCACGAAACUUGCCCCGAGAUGAGUUCUCCCUGAGACUUAGAGUCUCCUGAAGGAACGUUGAAGACGACGACGUUGAUAGGCCGGGUGUGUAAGCGCAGCGAUGCGUUGAGCUAACCGGUACUAAUGAACCGUGAGGCUUAACCUU
rnacentral:rRNA from 1 species